rnacentral:miRNA from 1 species
AUCCUCCCUCCCAGACCCUCCCACCACCUGGACAGCUCACUAAGAAUGCAGCUUCAAAAUGGAUGCUGUCCAGGAGGUGGGAGGGUCUGGGAGGGAGGGU